GCUAGCUUAGCCAGUAGAGCAUGAGACGCUUAAUCUGAAGAUUGUGGGUUUGUUCCCCACCUUAGGCA